UAGCAAACACUCAGAGUCAGAAGGUUGUGGGAACUCUGUGCACCCAUAUACAUACUGAAAUGAGAACUCGUUCCUGCACUUUAACUUUCAUCAAGAUCCGUAUGCGGAGUACGAUUAUUGGAUUAAUGAGAUAGGUGUUGAUGGACUUUUUACAGACUUUACAGGCAGCCUGCAUAAUUAUCAAGAGUGGAGCUCCUUUAAGGAAAGUGAUGACAAGAAUGCAUCAAACUUACUGCAUAAAAUAGCGUCAAUGGUCUCUC